rnacentral:lncRNA from 1 species
UCUAGAGUAAGAGCUUAAGUGGAAAUAAGGAUCUAGAGGAAGAAAGCUUAUUUGACUAUGUUUUUUUGCUUGAGGACAAGCAAAAGCUUAAGUGUGGGGGUAUUUGAUAGAGCAUAUUUUAGUACAUAUUUUCAUGGUCUUAUUGAUGUUUAUUUGCACCUAUUCUACCUAAUUUUGUGGUUUUAAUCAUGUUUUGCAAGUAUUAGGUGUGAAGAAACAAUUUGGAG